rnacentral:rRNA from 1 species
CCUACGGGAGGCAGCAGUGAGGAAUAUUGGUCAAUGGGCGUAAGCCUGACCCAGCCAAGCCGCGUGAGGGAUGACGGUUCUAUGGAUCGUAAACCUCUUUUAUAAGGGCAUAAAGUGCGGGACGUGUCCCGUUUUGUAUGUACCUUAUGAAUAAGGAUCGGCGAACUCCGUGCCAGCAGUCGCGGUAAUACGGAGGAGCCGAGCGUUCUCCGGAUUUAUUGGGUUUAAAGGGUGCGUAGGCGGCCUUUUAAGUCAGCGGGGAAAGUCUGUGGCUCAACCAUAGAAUUGCCGUUGAAACUGGGAGGCGUGAGUAUGUUUGAGGAGGGCGGAAUCCGUGGUGUAGCGGUGAAAUGCUUAGAUA